UACAGAGGUCUCAAGCGUUGUCCGGAUUUAUUGGGCGUAAAGAGCUUGUAGGUGGUUUGUCGCGUCUGCUGUGAAAAUCCGAGGCUCAACCUCGGACUUGCAGUGGGUACGGGCAGACUAGAGUGUGGUAGGGGAGACUGGAAUUCCUGGUGUAGCGGUGAAAUGCGCAGAUAUCAGGAGGAACACCGAUGGCGAAGGCAGGUCUCUGGGCCACUACUGACGCUGAGAAGCGAAAGCAUGGGGAGCGAACAGG
rnacentral:rRNA from 1 species